AUUGAACGCUGGCGGCAUGCCUUACACAUGCAAGUCGAACGGUAACAGGUCUUCGGAUGCUGACGAGUGGCGAACGGGUGAGUAAUACAUCGGAACGUGCCCGAUCGUGGGGGAUAACGCAGCGAAAGCUGUGCUAAUACCGCAUACGAUCUACGGAUGAAAGCGGGGGAUCGCAAGACCUCGCGCGGACGGAGCGGCCGAUGGCAGAUUAGGUAGUUGGUGGGAUAAAAGCUUACCAAGCCGACGAUCUGUAGCUGGUCUGAGAGGACGACCAGCCACACUGGGACUGAGACACGGCCCAGACUCCUACGGGAGGCAGCAGUGGGGAAUUUUGGACAAUGGGGGAAACCCUGAUCCAGCCAUGCCGCGUGCAGGAUGAAGGCCUUCGGUUGUAAACUGCUUUGUACGGUAACGAAAGGUACCUUUCUAAUAAAGAAGGGCUCAUGACGGUACCGUAAGAAUAAGACACCGGCGUAACUACGUGCCAGCAGCCGCGGUAAA
rnacentral:rRNA from 1 species